rnacentral:rRNA from 1 species
UACAGAGGGUGCGAGCGUUAAUCGGAAUUACUGGGCGUAAAGCGCACGUAGGUGGCGACGUAAGUCGGGUGUGAAAGCCCCGGGCUCAACCUGGGAAUUGCAUUCGAGACUGCAUUGCUGGAGUACGGAAGAGGAAGGCGGAAUUCCCGGUGUAGCGGCGAAAUGCGUAGAUAUCGGGAGGAACAUCAGUGGCGAAGGCGGCCUUCUGGUCCAGUACUGACACUCAAGUGCGAAAGCGUGGGGAGCAAACAGG